UACGGAGGAUCCGAGCGUUAUCCGGAUUUAUUGGGUUUAAAGGGUGCGCAGGCGGGAGAUUAAGUCGGUGGUGAAAUUUUGCAGCUCAACUGUAAAAGUGCCAUUGAUACUGGUUUUCUUGAGUGUGGAUGAAGUAGGCGGAAUUUGUGGUGUAGCGGUGAAGUGCAUAGAUAUCACGAGGAACUCCGAUUGCGCAGGCAGCUUACUAAACUACUACUGACGCUCAUGCACGAAGGCGUGGGGAUCAAACAGGAUUAGA
rnacentral:rRNA from 1 species